UACGGAGGGUGCAAGCGUUAUCCGGAUUCACUGGGUUUAAAGGGUGCGUAGGCGGGUUGGUAAGUCCGUGGUGAAAUCCCCAAGCUUAACUUGGGAACUGCCGUGGAUACUAUCAAUCUUGAAUAUCGUGGAGGUAAGCGGAAUAUGUCAUGUAGCGGUGAAAUGCUUAGAUAUGACAUAGAACACCAAUUGCGAAGGCAGCUUACUACAGGAAUAUUGACACUGAUGCACGAAAGCGUGGGGAUCAAACAGG
rnacentral:rRNA from 1 species